rnacentral:rRNA from 1 species
CCGGUUGAUCCUGCCGGAGGUCACUGCUAUUGGAGUUCGAUUAAGCCAUGCGAGUCAAUAGUUCUUCGUGAACUAGGCGGACUGCUCAGUAACACGUGGGUAAUCUGCCCUCAGGUCAGGGAUAACCCCGGGAAACUGGGGAUAAUACCUGAUAGGUGAAGUGGUCUGGAAUGAUACUUCGCCCAAAGCUCCGGCGCCUGAGGAUGAGCCUGCGGCCGAUUAGGUUGUUGGCGGUGUAACGGACCACCAAGCCCAUGAUCGGUACGGGUGGUGAGAGCCAUAGCCCGGAGAUGGGGGCUGAGACACGGCCCCAGGCCCUACGGGGCGCAGCAGGCGCGAAAACUACGCAAUACGCGAAAGCGUGACGUGGGAACUCCAAGUGCCUUGCCUUAGGGUAAGGCUUUUGUUUAGUGUAAGUAGCUAAACGAAUAAGUGCGGGGUAAGACCGGUGCCAGCCGCCGCGGUAACACCGGCCGCGCAAGUGGUGACCGCUUUUAUUGGGCCUAAAGCGUUCGUAGCCGGUCCGGUAAGUCCUUGGGUAAAUCCUUCGGCUUAACCGAAGGAAUUCCGAGGAUACUGCUGGACUUGGAGUUGAGAGAGGUCAGAGGUACCUCCGGGGUAGGGGUGAAAUCCUAUAAUCCUGGGGGGACCACCAGUGGCGAAGGCGUCUGACUAGAGCAAGCUCGACGGUGAGGGACGAAAGCCAGGGGCGCGAACGGGAUUAGAUACCCCGGUAGUCCUGGCUGUAAACGCUGCGCGCUAGGUGUUACGUCCUCUACGGGGGGACGUAGUGCCGAAGAGAAGUUGAUAAGCGUGCCGCCUGGGAAGUAUUACCGCAAGGUAGAAACUUAAAGGAAUUGGCGGGGGAGCACCACAAGGGGUGGAGUCUGCGGUUCAAUUGGAUUCAACGCCGGG